UACGUAGGGACCAAGCGUUGUUCGGAUUUACUGGGCGUAAAGGGCGCGUAGGCGGCAAUUCAAGUCAGCUGUGAAAUCUCCGGGCUUAACUCGGAACGGUCAGCUGAUACUGCUUUGCUAGAGUGCAGAAGGGGCAAUCGGAAUUCUUGGUGUAGCGGUGAAAUGCGUUGAUAUCGGAAGGAACGCCGGCGGCGAAAGCGGCUUGCUGGACCCCAUCUGACGCUGAUGCGCGAAAGCCAGGGGAGCGAACGGG
rnacentral:rRNA from 1 species